rnacentral:rRNA from 1 species
ACCCUUUAAUGUUUGAUGUUCUAACGUGGACCCGUGAUCCGGGUUGCGGACAGUGUCUGGUGGGUAGUUUGACUGGGGCGGUCUCCUCCUAAAGAGUAACGGAGGAGCACGAAGGUUGGCUAAUCCUGGUCGGACAUCAGGAGGUUAGUGCAAUGGCAUAAGCCAGCUUGACUGCGAGCGUGACGGCGCGAGCAGGUGCGAAAGCAGGUCAUAGUGAUCCGGUGGUUCUGAAUGGAAGGGCCAUCGCUCAACGGAUAAAAGGUACUCCGGGGAUAACAGGCUGAUACCGCCCAAGAGUUCAUAUCGACGGCGGUGUUUGGCACCUCGAUGUCGGCUCAUCACAUCCUGGGGCUGAAGUAGGUCCCAAGGGUAUGGCUGUUCGCCAUUUAAAGUGGUACGCGAGCUGGGUUUAGAACGUCGUGAGACAGUUCGGUCCCUAUCUGCCGUGGGCGCUGGAGAACUGAGGGGGGCUGCUCCUAGUACGAGAGGACCGGAGUGGACGCAUCACUGGUGUUCGGGUUGUCAUGCCAAUGGCACUGCCCGGUAGCUAAAUGCGGAAGAGAUAAGUGCUGAAAGCAUCUAAGCACGAAACUUGCCCCGAGAUGAGUUCUCCCUGAGACUUAAAGUCUCCUGAAGGAACGUUGAAGACGACGACGUUG